GAUGAACGCUAGCGGCAGGCCUAAUACAUGCAAGUCGGACGGGAUUGAGAAGCCUGCUUUUCAUGAGAGUGGCGCACGGGUGCGUAACACGUAUGUAACCUACCUUCAUCAGGGGGAUAGCCUCUCGAAAGAGAGAUUAACACCGCAUAAAAUCACAGUACAGCUUUGUACAAUGAUCAAAUAUUUAUAGGAUGAAGAUGGGCAUGCGGGACAUUAGCUAGAUGGUGAGGUAACGGCUCACCAUGGCGAUGAUGUCUAGGGGAUCUGAGAGGAUGGCCCCCCACACUGGUACUGAGACACGGACCAGACUCCUACGGGAGGCAGCAGUAAGGAAUAUUGGUCAAUGGACGGAAGUCUGAACCAGCCAUGCCGCGGGCAGGAAGACGGCCCUACGGGUUGUAAACUGCUUUUGUACGGGAAUAAACCUCUUUACGUGUAAGAGCUGAAUGUACUGUAAGAAUAAGGAUCGGCUAACUCCGUGCCAGCAGCCGCAGUAA
rnacentral:rRNA from 1 species